UUGAACGCUGGCGGAAUGCUUUACACAUGCAAGUCGAACGGCAGCACGGGAGCUUGCUCCUGGUGGCGAGUGGCGAACGGGUGAGUAACAUAUCGGAACGUACCCAGUCGUGGGGGAUAACUAUCCGAAAGGAUAGCUAAUACCGCAUACGUCCUGAGGGAGAAAGCGGGGGAUCGCAAGACCUCGCGCGAUUGGAGCGGCCGAUAUCGGAUUAGCUAGUUGGUGGGGUAAAGGCUCACCAAGGCGACGAUCCGUAGCGGGUCUGAGAGGACGACCCGCCACACUGGAACUGAGACACGGUCCAGACUCCUACGGGAGGCAGCAGUGGGGAAUUUUGGACAAUGGGGGCAACCCUGAUCCAGCCAUUCCGCGUGAGUGAAGAAGGCCUUCGGGUUGUAAAGCUCUUUCAGCAGGAACGAAACGGUCGGCUUUAAUAAAGUCGGCUAAUGACGGUACCUGCAGAAGAAGCACCGGCUAACUACGUG
rnacentral:rRNA from 1 species